rnacentral:rRNA from 1 species
AGGAUGAACGCUGGCGGCGUGCCUAAAACAUGCAAGUCAUACGGGCUACCUCCGGGUAGCCAGUGGCAAACGGGUGAGUAACGCGUGGGAACGCGCCUUGGGGUGGGGAAUAACGCUGAGAAAUCAGUGCUAAUACCGCAUAUGGUCUAACAACUAAAGCAGCAAUGCGCCCCGAGAGCGGCCCGCGACCGAUUAGCUAGUUGGUGGGGUAAUGGCCUACCAAGGCGGUGAUCGGUAGCUGGUCUGAGAGGAUGGUCAGCCACACUGGGACUGCGAACGGCCCAGACUCCUACGGGAGGCAGCAGUUAGGAAUUUUCCGCAAUGGAGGCAACUCUGACGGAGCAACGCCGCGUGCAGGAGGAAGGUUUUCGGAUCGUAAACUGCUUUUCUCGGGGACGAGCAAGGACGGUACCCGAGGAAGAAGCCCCGGCUAACUACGUGCCAGCAGCCGC